rnacentral:misc_RNA from 1 species
GUUGGCACCUUAUAGCACACGACAAACAUCAGAAACCAUUGCCUUGCAAUUGACAUUCCAAAUACUCUUCUUCAAAAUCUACAUACUAUGUGGUACAAGGGAUUCCCAGCAUCUCGUAGAAAAAGAGUAUCUAAUGAACGGGCAAAUUCUUCUCUCUUUUCAGCUGUGCUUCGAGAAUGCUUCUUGAGUCUGAAUUUAGAAUGGUGUUGGAAAGUUGAAUCAUUUACCGUACUGUAGCUCACCAAGCAUCAACCACAUACGAUGAUGAUAUGUAGUAUAUCAGCUUCACACCGA